UUUUUUUAAUUAUUGCGGUUUCCAUUUUUCUUUUCCUGUUUCCUCCUGCAUGUGAUUUCAAUAUUUGAAUGGUUUUGAUGAAUAUUCAGUCACAAUCCCACAGCUGCUCGGUGAGUGGCUGUGCAGAAAGCCACUGGCAUCUGCCUGGCCACAUCAGCUGCUGAGCAUGACCUAUGCUUAAACGAUGCUCAGAUGCAUUCCUUUUAGAGGGAAGUUCCUCAGGUGGUUAACACACACUUAAUAGAUAAAAAUUUCUUGAGGCUUUCUUUUUCUCUUUCAUACUUUUGAACAGCAUAAGCCAGCUGAACAUCUGGAAAAAAAAUCAAGAAAAAUCAGGAAGCUCAAUCCUUCAAAAGAUGGCCCACCUGCUAAACAUUUUUCAGACGUUAGAAGCUCCUCUAAAUCACAGUGGUAACACAGGAAAGAAGACCGACUCCAACAACAACAACAGGAUUCAGAACUGCUCCGCUCAUUUGUUGUUUCCUAGACAGUCGCUGCACUAAGUAAGACAGCAGAAAGAGAAGAUGGCUACAGAAGCACUCAAGACAGCGUAUCACUUUACUGAGCUUGCUGUUCAACCAUGAGUAAUUUUGCAGCUUUGCAAGGGGAAGGAUGGACUAGACACAAGCAAGGAGCUCCUAACCAACCCGCUGACUCUGAAGCAGCAUGCCAGGACCACGGAUCCCCUGGGAAAACGGACUGAAGCCCAUGGUCAGUCAAUGUGCUGCAGCAGCCCCCAUUUCCAUCCCCAAGCCCACUUUCCAACCUACAUCUUUCUCCACACCUUGUGACCUACUGCAGCCCACAGCUUUGGUCUCCUUACCUUUGGUCUGUCUCGGAUACCACAACUAAUACAGCUUUCCUGCUUGCAGCCCUCCUUGCACGCAAGGCAAUGCCAGGAGAGUACAAAGAACAAUUUCACAAUGCUCUUCAGCAUCUGACAGUUGCCAAGGCUGCUGUCAACAGCAGCUGCUUUACACUGGUGGUAGAGUCCUGAGGAAUGCCAAGGUUUGUGCCUCUCUAUUUCACGUUUUCUGUGGAAGGGGUGGCCAUACCCCGGUAGCUACCUUCCGUGUUCCCACCAAGGGAGCUAAGCCUCAGCAAGCGCAAGGAGAUGCUCUUCAUGGAGAGAAGACUGAGGGAGGCCAACCAUCAAGACAAGAACUAUUCACCGGGGCAUGGCUGCUUGUCAAAGCACCUGCAAACUAAAUGUCAAAACAAAUAAUUUUAUCUGUCAGUUGUAUUCCUCUCCAUUGCCACAAUGCAGAGAGAGAGUUACUAUAGAAAUAACAGUUAUUCUUAAUAAAAUAAGUUUCUUCAAAAGUUCUUCCUCCAUUUAAUGUUAUUUGCUGUGGCAUAAGAAAGCCCCACCACUGUUCCCAAACUGUGAACAUUACUUAAGAAAGAAAUACACAGGGGUAGGUCAAUGACUAACAGAGAUACUGAUUGCACUGAAAUACAACAAUUUGCAAAAGGAAAGACGGAAUACACUGAAAUGUUCACUAAACCAAAUACACGUCAGAAAUUUCUGUGAAAUUGCAAACAGCCUGAUAGAUAUUCUCAAAAUAAUUUGUACAGUUUAAUUGACACGUAUCUUGUAUGCGCAUAGCAGGGAAUAAAGUCAUCCUAUCGCUUCCAUAGCAAAACAAUCAUAGAGUUUUCUUUCUCUUUACCACUUACAAACUACAACUGUGUGAGUUUUCCUCCUUUUUGUAUAUGAACUCAAGAUAGGAGAGAAUAUUCUGAUGGAGACUGAUGUGGGAAACAUUCAACCAGAGAGGCUGCCCCUCAGACACAAGGGAUUACACAAGUAUUCCUCAUGCAUAUAUUAGUCACCAGAUAAAAAGCUUUUGUAAAAUCAAUAUACAGAAAGAGAAACCAACAUACCGCUUUCUAAAACAGAUACUUUCCCAAUCCUCUAGCUAUGCAUGCCCUUAUUACUAAAAAUGCUGAUCCGCAUGUAUUUAAAUUCACUGCCUGAGUAGUCCUUUGCAAACAAACUCUGCAGUUAUUUACUAACACUUCAAAAAGUUUUGAUUCUAGGCAUUUUGUCAUCUUGAGAAAGGCAGGCUGUGUCUAAAGACUGCUGCUAACAGUAAUACAUCAUAAAUAAAUAGUGAAUUCCAGUGUAAGUCCUCAAGAGGAAAGCAAGACUAGUUUCAGUGCAACCUCUGGAAAAAAGUGCCCGGUGUAUCAUCCAAAAUCCCUGCUUGGGGAUUUCUAACGCUGCUCAGUGUUAAAAAGCACAUCAGCAAUGUCCAACCAAAGGCUAUUUCUUGAACACUACUUCUUGGGGCAGAGAGACAGAGAUUUCAGGAGACAUUACUGCCCACUCCACGUAGCCACAGUUGCUGUUUGGUUUCCAUGCUCCUGCAAGAACGACUGAAUAUCAUCACAGCCAACACCAUGGGCACAGGUAGAACUGGGGUUAAUGUAAUACUAAAGAAUUUGCCAGUGGAGUUUUUAUUUGCCUUUACAGUACUCAGCUUCUCCAUUUCUUGCUAGGAAAUUCUCUCAAACUGUACAAAAACAAGGAUUGAGAUAAAAAGCCCUUUGAUUUUUCACUUUGAUUAAUCUUCAGUUUCAGUGAAAUAGAGGUGAUAAUCAUUACAGACAGAAGUUGCACGUUAAGCUAGCUUCCUCCUAAAAGGAGCAAUCCCGAAGAAAAUCAAUCGGAUAGUUCAAGUGCUUAAUAUCUAACAGGAGUAAAAAUAAAUCUUUUUGCUUUCUCUGCUCACUGUAAAAUGCAGCUGAAGACCAUUUCUUCCUUGAGCCAACGAAUUUGAAUAUUCAUGGGAGAAGAAAGACAGAUAAAAAGCACAGCCCUGCUGAGUAUGAAUUUGCAGCUUAGUAACAGACUUUGCAAGUUACCUUACAAAUUCUCUUCUCGCUUUCAAAAGAGGUUGUCUAAGAUGUUGCCUGGAUAUCCUGUGACUUUUUAUUG